rnacentral:rRNA from 1 species
GUGGGGAAUCUUAGACAAUGGGGGAAACCCUGAUCUAGCCAUGCCGCGUGAUCGAUGAAGGCCUUAGGGUUGUAAAGAUCUUUCAGGUGGGAAGAUAAUGACUGUACCACCAGAAGAAGCCCCGGCUAACUCCGUGCCAGCAGCCGCGGUAAUACGGAGGGGGCUAGCGUUGUUCGGAAUUACUGGGCGUAAAGCGCACGUAGGCGGAUUGGAAAGUUGGGGGUGAAAUCCCGGGGCUCAACCCCGGAACUGCCUUCAAAACUCCCAGUCUUGAGUUCGAGAGAGGUGAGUGGAAUGCCGAGUGUAGAGGUGAAAUUCGUAGAUAUUCGGAGGAACACCAGUGGCGAAGGCGGCUCACUGGCUCGAUACUGACGCUGAGGUGCGAAAGCGUGGGGAGCAAACAGGAUUAGAAACCCCUGUAGUCC